rnacentral:tRNA from 2 species
UCCUAAUUAGCUCAGUUGGUGGAGCGCUCCACUUCAAAUGGAGAGGUCCCUGGUACGAUACCAGGAUCAUGUG